GUAAUUGUAGGAGACAAGAUAAGCUUUCAAGUUUGAUUAGAUUCAUGCAUCAAAUUUAGUUGCAUAGAAUCCCUUAUUUGAAAUUGAUCGUGCAUAUUCAUCUCAAAUCAACUUAAGGGCAACACCCAUCACAAAAUAAGGUGGAGAUUUUAUCAUCCUUCCUUAGCUCAAAACAACCAACUAGCUCCCGUAAUAACCCAAACCUAAUUAAAAUUAAGUAGACGUUGGCCUC
rnacentral:lncRNA from 1 species